UCUUUCGGUGCACAAACCCUAGUCGCCCCUCCUCUUUCCCAUCCUCACGCCGCCAUCUCCCCCUUCCUCUCUGCUUCUUUUCACCCUCAACCACCGUGAGCUCCUCGCCGGUGCCCCACCUCUCCGGUCGUCCCCUCGCCAAUCUAACACCACCAGGAGGUGCGCCUCGACCUCCUUGUUCGCCUAGUACCUCCAAUCGAGUCAGGGGAGCUCUAAUUCGUCGCCUCCGACCCCAUUUCCUUCUCCGACCUGGCGGCAAAUUCUUCGAUUCCGGCCGCCAUGCGCAUCCUCCGCUCGUACCGCUGGCUCGACGAGCUUCGGGAUGAGUCCGUCCAUCUCCUAGAAGUCUUCCCCGCCCCCUUGCUUCCGUUUUGCCCCUACCGAUGUUGAUGCCGUAGCCGUCGCCGAAGGUUCCCGCCGUCGGCGUCUCUCCGACGACCACCCGCUGGCGGCGGUUCUUCCUCCUGAUCCGCGUCGGCAAGGCGCUCCCGACGCGCCUCCCCUCGCCCCCUGGUAUGUCCUGCAUCGGCCGCGUCGCGCCCAUCUGCCGCGGUGACCGCGCCUCUGGAACGCGAGCGGCAUCAGCUCCGCGCCAAACAUCUACCGGGAAUGCACGCAUGGUUCGCCAGCUCGGCGUCCAGUCAGCAUCUCCAGCCCCACCUGUCAUCGACCGAGGCUAGGCCCUCACCCGCAUUUGCUUCUUCCCGGAUAGGAUCACGAAGUGGUGAUGUGAGAUACGAUGAGUUCUCCGACAAGUUCUUCUGCAGCUUUUCCCAGGCGAGCCCUCCCUCUUCACCUAUUUUAUAUUUUGCUCUCCCUCUCACUUCUAUCCUUAUGUUGAGAUUAUUUAUCGAGUCACGUGUCCUAUUCCACUUGUUUACCAUAAUAAUCCUAUAUGUAUCAUCCCUUACCCGUAGCCGUUGCUUGAUGUUUGAGCCUUGCGAGUCGGCGUGUUUAGGCUCUGUUGUUUAUCUCGAUCUGUUAUCGGGAUAUGUUGGGUUGUUGGGAGGUUAUCACAUGCUAUAUCAAUUGUUGUAGAUACCCAUGCUUUACUUUAUUGUUAACAACUAAAAUUGUAAGCAGUGGAAUCUGUGAGCCCCUUUGCGAAAGCAUCUAAUCUUUGUCUCGCUAAUGUCCCCUAAGACCCGAGUUCUUGUUAUCUGUUCCGAGAUUGAGCGCUCUACCUGUACGUGGGGGAGUGGGACCCCCGUCACCCACUACCUUUCCUCGAUUCUGUUUAUUGGAAGCCACAACCUUGGUUUUAUUUGCCCAUAUGCAUGAUAUGCACGAUUUACUUCAUGUUGCCUUCGGGUUUUUAUAUUCUGUACUGUACUCAUAUUGCGUGCCGACUUAUCCUUGGCCGGUCGUUAGUGCCCGCUUUGGACGCCAUCGCAACCUCUGGGUCCGUAUCGGAGUACGGCCGAACUUCGUCACGGGUAGCUUAGUUGGGUGGCUCCCAUUAAACUUUCUCUUGCAUUGGGAACGGUCUUGUUGUGAGACUCCACCUGUAGUAAGUGGGUUCGAGCAUGCGUAUGGUUACAUUUGGGCAACCCCUGCAGGGUGUACAUCUUAUCGAUAAGCCAUGUCCGCGGUUAUGGAUGACUCCGAAUUGUAUAGCUUGAUCAUAGAACAAAUUACACCUUAUACUUGUUGUUAAUAAUCUGAUAAUGUCCUACGUAGUAAUAUAGCAUUACUAUAACCGAUACCUAAUAAAACUUGUCCACCGUUGAGUGCCUUGUACAUUGCCUCUUCGCUUUGUUGAAGGGGAUAUGUGUAAUCGGCUGGGUUAUGUUUGUGUAGUAUUUAUCUGUUACCUUGUGCGCUCUCUUAUCUUCUCUGAGUAGACGGAUGUUGUAGAGUGUCUCUAUUGGUUAUAGUUUUGCUGCCGCUAAACCUACCAUAUAGCCCCAGGUGAUAUAUUCGCCUGGCGAGCAUAGCCAUUUCUAGUCUCGCUAAGUACGUGUCGGAGUUCCUUCCUUGGUACUUACUCUCGCCUUUUCUCUUUCUGUUCUGUUUCAACCCUUUUGUCGGCAACCGAUGCCCUGACUUUGACAGGUACAAGAUGAUGACGUUAGCAAGGUUACCCUUCCAGCUUGGCAUGGGCAGGGUUAUGGACGCCACUGGUUAUCUUCAGGACUCUUAGUCCAAUUUGCAUCUUGUUCGUACUCGGAUGUAUUUGAUCUUCUGUAUGAUUCGGAUCUUUGUAUUGUGUAUUUGUAUCUUGACUCGUUGGAGUCGUUGUUGUAAUAUAUAUUUCUUGUGGGCUCUAUUGUAAUCCUGUUGUAAUGUUA